rnacentral:rRNA from 1 species
CCUACGGGGGGCAGCAGUGGGGAAUAUUGCACAAUGGGCGCAAGCCUGAUGCAGCCAUGCCGCGUGUGUGAAGAAGGCCUUCGGGUUGUAAAGCACUUUCAGCGGGGAGGAAGGCGGUGAGGUUAAUAACCUCAUCGAUUGACGUUACCCGCAGAAGAAGCACCGGCUAACUCCGUGCCAGCAGCCGUGGUAAUACGGAGGGUGCAAGCGUUAAUCGGAAUUACUGGGCGUAAAGCGCACGCAGGCGGUCUGUCAAGUCGGAUGUGAAAUCCCCGGGCUCAACCUGGGAACUGCAUUCGAAACUGGCAGGCUAGAGUCUUGUAGAGGGGGGUAGAAUUCCAGGUGUAGCGGUGAAAUGCGUAGAGAUCUGGAGGAAUACCGGUGGCGAAGGCGGCCCCCUGGACAAAGACUGACGCUCAGGUGCGAGAGCGUGGGGAGCAAACAGGAUUAGAUACCCGUGUAGUC